rnacentral:rRNA from 1 species
CCUACGGGUGGCGGCAGUGGGGAAUAUUGCACAAUGGGCGCAAGCCUGAUGCAGCCAUGCCGCGUGUGUGAAGAAGGCCUUCGGGUUGUAAAGCACUUUCAGCGGGGAGGAAGGCGUUAAGGUUAAUAACCUUGGCGAUUGACGUUACCCGCAGAAGAAGCACCGGCUAACUCCGUGCCAGCAGCCGCGGUAAUACGGAGGGUGCAAGCGUUAAUCGGAAUUACUGGGCGUAAAGCGCACGCAGGCGGUCUGUCAAGUCGGAUGUGAAAUCCCCGGGCUCAACCUGGGAACUGCAUUCGAAACUGGCAGGCUAGAGUCUUGUAGAGGGGGGUAGAAUUCCAGGUGUAGCGGUGAGAUGCGUAGAGAUCUGGAGGAAUACCGGUGGCGAAGGCGGCCCCCUGGACAAAGACUGACGCUCAGGUGCGAAAGCGUGGGGAGCAAACAGGAUUAGAUACCCCGGUAGUC